UGCAGUUUUGGCCGACCUCAUAUACUGA
rnacentral:sRNA from 1 species